AUUGAACGCUGGCGGCAUGCUUUACACAUGCAAGUCGAACGGUAACAGGUUAAGCUGACGAGUGGCGAACGGGUGAGUAAUGCAUCGGAACGUGCCCGAUCGUGGGGGAUAACGCAGCGAAAGCUGCGCUAAUACCGCAUACGAUCUGAGGAUGAAAGCGGGGGACCGUAAGGCCUCGCGCGAUCGGAGCGGCCGAUGUCAGAUUAGGUAGUUGGUGGGGUAAAGGCUCACCAAGCCAACGAUCUGUAGCUGGUCUGAGAGGACGACCAGCCACACUGGGACUGAGACACGGCCCAGACUCCUACGGGAGGCAGCAGUGGGGAAUUUUGGACAAUGGGCGAGAGCCUGAUCCAGCAAUGCCGCGUGCAGGAAGAAGGCCUUCGGGUUGUAAACUGCUUUUGUACGGAGCGAAAAGGCUCUCUCUAAUACAGGGGGCUCAUGACGGUACCGUAGAAUAAGCACCGGCUAACUACGUGCCAGCCGCCGCGGUAA
rnacentral:rRNA from 1 species